UACGUAGGGUGCGAGCGUUAUCCGGAAUUAUUGGGCGUAAAGGGCUCGUAGGCGGUCUGUUGCGUCGGGAGUGAAAACUCAGGGCUUAACCCUGAGCCUGCUUCCGAUACGGGCAGACUAGAGGUAUGCAGGGGAGAACGGAAUUCCUGGUGUAGCGGUGAAAUGCGCAGAUAUCAGGAGGAACACCGGUGGCGAAGGCGGUUCUCUGGGCAUUACCUGACGCUGAGGAGCGAAAGUGUGGGGAGCGAACAGG
rnacentral:rRNA from 1 species